rnacentral:rRNA from 1 species
UACAGAGGUCCCAAGCGUUGUUCGGAUUCACUGGGCGUAAAGGGUGCGUAGGCGGUCGGGUAAGUCUGAUGUGAAAUCUCACAGCUUAACUGUGAAACUGCAUUGGAUACUAUUCGGCUUGAGAGUUGGAGGGGGGACUGGAAUUCUUGGUGUAGCAGUGAAAUGCGUAGAUAUCGUAAGGAAGACCAGUGGCGAAGGCGGAUCUCUGGACAGUUACUGACACUGAGGCACGAAGGCCAGGGGAGCAAACGGG